UACGUAGGGUGCAAGCGUUGUCCGGAAUUAUUGGGCGUAAAGAGCUCGUAGGCGGUCUGUCGCGUCGGCUGUGAAAUCCCGGAGCUCAACCCCGGGCCUGCAGUCGAUACGGGCAGGCUAGAGUCCGGCAGGGGAGACUGGAAUUCCUGGUGUAGCGGUGAAAUGCGCAGAUAUCAGGAGGAACACCGGUGGCGAAGGCGGGUCUCUGGGCCGGAACUGACGCUGAGGAGCGAAAGCGUGGGGAGCGAACAGG
rnacentral:rRNA from 1 species